AUUGAACGCUGGCGGCAGGCCUAACACAUGCAAGUCGAGCGGAUGACGGGAGCUUGCUCCUUGAUUCAGCGGCGGACGGGUGAGUAAUGCCUAGGAAUCUGCCUGGUAGUGGGGGACAACGCUUCGAAAGGAACGCUAAUACCGCAUACGUUCUACGGGAGAAAGCAGGGGACCUUCGGGCCUUGCGCUAUAAGAUGAGCAUAGGUCGGAUUAGCUAGUAGGUGAGGUAAUGGCUCACCUAGGCGACGAUCCGUAACUGGUCUGAGAGGAUGAUCAGUCAAACUGGAACUGAGACACGGUCCAGACUCCUACGGGAGGCAGCAGUGGGGAAUAUUGGACGAUGGGCGAAAGCCUGAUCCAGCCAUGCCGCGUGUGUGAAGAAGGUCUUCGGAUUGUAAAGCACUUUAAGUUGGGAGGAAGGGCAGUAAGCUAAUACCUUGCUGUUUUGACGUUACCGACAGAAUAAGCACCGGCUAACUCUGUGCCAGCCGCCGCCGUAAAAC
rnacentral:rRNA from 1 species